CCUACGGGGGUCUGCAGUGGGGAAUAUUGGACAAUGGGGGCAACCCUGAUCCAGCCAUGCCGCGUGUGUGAAGAAGGCCCUCGGGUUGUAAAGCACUUUCAGUGAGGAAGAACGCCUGGUGGUUAAUACCCAUCAGGAAAGACAUCACUCACAGAAGAAGCACCGGCUAACUCCGUGCCAGCAGCCGCGGUAAUACGGAGGGUGCGAGCGUUAAUCGGAAUUACUGGGCGUAAAGCGCGCGUAGGUGGCUUGAUAAGCCGGUUGUGAAAGCCCCGGGCUCAACCUGGGAACGGCAUCCGGAACUGUCAAGCUAGAGUGCAGGAGAGGAAGGUAGAAUUCCCGGUGUAGCGGUGAAAUGCGUAGAGAUCGGGAGGAAUACCAGUGGCGAAGGCGGCCUUCUGGACUGACACUGACACUGAGGUGCGAAAGCGUGGGUAGCAAACAGGAUUAGAUACCCUUGUAGUC
rnacentral:rRNA from 1 species